AAAAUAGUUGGGCUAUUAAUGUUUUUUUUCCAAACCGAAAAAUCUUUUGUCUCUGUCGCAAGCUUCACUUGAUUCAUUUUCUUCGUGGAUCUUCUCACCUUCGACUGCAACUCGUGGCAACCAAGCUUGGCGGCUUCUCUCCCAUUACAAUCUCCAGCCACUGUACUCCAACCAACAAUUCUCCACCGCAAUCCUCCUCUGUUGCGUAUGCUUCAUAUCCUCCGUGAUUCACCUGUCUCGAGCUUUCUCUUCUCCGCCACAGCUCGUCGCAUCUGUCUCAGGCCACCAGACCAUCUACGUCGUCUUGCUCUGCCGACGGUGUCAUGCUCGGAUUCAAGCCUCGUCGUUCUCAUCAUCGCCGUCUCUGUCUCGUCACAUAAGAGAUCAAACAACAAUGGUGGAUUUUCAAUAAUUUUCAGAUUUGGUCCUUCACUUUUUGAUUUCUUUCGAUUGUUUUGUGGACAGACGAAUUGUGGACCAGUGUUAUGUGGAUAGACGAAUUGUGGACGAGUGUUAACAUUGUGGAUAGUUUUCUGGUGGAUAUAUAUGUUGUGGACAAGAGUCAUGUGAAUGUGUUCUUAUAAACAAGUUUGUAGUGGACCUGUUCUUAUGGACAAGCUCUUACAAUUAUAGUUGUGUAACUAUGACUGUUUGUGAACAUGUUAUUGUAGACAAAGAUCGUGUUUGAAGUUUAAUCUAUCUAGGGUUUGUGUUGUUUGUUUGAAGAUAAUCCAUCUAGAGAACAUAUUGUAUUGUGACGUUUUGAAAGAGAG
rnacentral:lncRNA from 1 species